rnacentral:rRNA from 1 species
CUUGCUACUUUGCCGGCGAGCGGCGGACGGGUGAGUAAUGUCUGGGAAACUGCCUGAUGGAGGGGGAUAACUACUGGAAACGGUAGCUAAUACCGCAUGACCUCGAAAGAGCAAAGUGGGGGAUCUUCGGACCUCACGCCAUCGGAUGUGCCCAGAUGGGAUUAGCUAGUAGGUGAGGUAAUGGCUCACCUAGGCGACGAUCCCUAGCUGGUCUGAGAGGAUGACCAGCCACACUGGAACUGAGACACGGUCCAGACUCCUACGGGAGGCAGCAGUGGGGAAUAUUGCACAAUGGGCGCAAGCCUGAUGCAGCCAUGCCGCGUGUGUGAAGAAGGCCUUAGGGUUGUAAAGCACUUUCAGCGAGGAGGAAGGCAUCACACUUAAUACGUGUGGUGAUUGACGUUACUCGCAGAAGAAGCACCGGCUAACUCCGUGCCAGCAGCCGCGGUAAUACGGAGGGUGCAAGCGUUAAUCGGAAUUACUGGGCGUAAAGCGCACGCAGGCGGUUUGUUAAGUCAGAUGUGAAAUCCCCGCGCUUAACGUAGGGAACUGCAUUUGAAACUGGCAAGCUAGAGUCUUGUAGAGGGGGGUAGAAUUCCAGGUGUAGCGGUGAAAUGCGUAGAGAUCUGGAGGAAUACCGGUGGCGAAAGCGGCCCCCUGGACAAAGACUGACGCUCAGUGCGAAAGCGUGGGGAGCAAGCAGGAUUA